CUGAACACCACUUUUCUCAAGGAGCAGAAAUGCUCAACUGUGUUACAGUGGAACUUCAUCCAAGAUCAUCUUCUAUUAAGCUUUACAAAUUGCUUCAAAAAGCAAAAUAAGCUUCAAAUGAAAUAGGCUUUCGAUGUGACAGUGUUUACAGGAAACAUUAUGCUGUUACGAACUUCCCUUAGAAUCAACCCAUUUGUGAAACACCACAUUAAUAAGAGCAGUAUCUUUGGAGAUUGGAGAGUCCACCAAGGAUGCCCACUGGCUCCCUACAAAGUUUUUUAUGUGAGGACUCGGUCUCAGAUAUGGCUACUGGGAUUCUGUUCAAACUGAGUGAAGACAUCAUCAUCUUUCUUUGAGAUCUUCCUUGCUUUCUGGCCAAAGAAGUUAUUCCCUGACCCGACUUUCCAAAGAGUACUAGUUCCUUUUAGCAGUGAUUAGAAACCUGAUCUGAGUACUACUGUGUGUGCUUGUGACUAGUGUGGUUUUAUUGUUUCUAUGUCCUUUCAGCGAGCAGAUCUACAAUGAGGGAUACAUCUAAACAAAACUCCAUAUUAAUAAGUCCAGUUGAAAUCUAACAACAUAGGGUUCUUUCGCAUUCUCUUGCAUUCCAUAUUUGUAUAUUCGUUCACCCAUGGUGGCAACCCUGGCUAUUAGAAAUAUAAUUGUAUUUAUUUUGCUGUAUCCUACAAUAAAACAAAAAAAUUAAGAAUUACUAUACCAACAUCAUGAUAAAAAUACACAUACUAAGUAAAUCUGUUAUGUAAACUACAAGUGUGUUUGUAGCAUUUUUGUUUUUACACUAUAGCCUACUAAGUGUGCAAUUAGACUUCUUGCUCACUGGUUUCUGUUUACUUUUAAUUUUAGUAUU
rnacentral:lncRNA from 10 species